rnacentral:rRNA from 1 species
GAUGAACGCUACCUACAGGCUUAACACAUUUAAGUCGACGGGUAACGAGAGGAAAGCUUGCUUUCCUUGUCGACGACCGGCGCACGGGUGUGUAACGCGUAUCCAACCUGCCCCCAACUAGGGAAUAACCUUGCGAAAGUAAGACUAAUACCCUAUAAUUUCCUCAGAUGACAUCUGACGAGGAAUAAAGAUUUAUCGGUUGUGGAUGGGGAUGCGUCUGAUUACCUUGUUGGCGGGGUAACGGCCCACCAAGGCAACGAUCAGUAGGGGUUCUGAGAGGAAGGUACCCCACAUUGGAGCUGAGAAACGGUACAAACUCCUACGGGAGGCAGGAGUGAGGAAUAUUGGUCAAUGGGCGGAAUGCUGAACCAGCCAAGUAGCGUGCAGGAUGACGGCCCUAUGGGUUGUAAACUGCUUUUAUACAGGAAUAAAGUUAGCCACGUGUGGUUAUUUGUAGGUACUGUAUGACUAAGGACCGACUAAUUCCGUGCGAGCCACCGCGGUAA